rnacentral:rRNA from 1 species
UUCCGGUUGAUCCUGCCGGACCUGACUGCUAUCGGAUUGAUACUAAGCCAUGCGAGUCUUUGUAGUAAUACAAGGCAUACGGCUCAGUAACGCGUAGUCAACCUACCCUAUGGACAAGAAUAAUCUCGGGAAACUGAGCAUAAUUCUUGAUAGAUCAUAAUGCCUGGAAUGGUAUAUGGUUAAAAUGAUUCGUCGCCAUAGGAUGGGACUGCGGCCUAUCAGCUUGUUGGUGAGGUAAUGGCCCACCAAGGCGAUAACAGGUACGGGCUCUGAGAGGAGAAGCCCGGAGAUGGGUACUGAGACAAGGACCCAGGCCCUAUGGGGCGCAGCAGGCGAGAAAACUUUGCAAUGUGCGAAAGCACGACAAGGUUAGUCCGAGUGAUUUCUGCUAAAGAGAUCUUUUGCUAGUUAUAAAACCACUAGUGAAUAAGGGGUGGGCAAGUUCUGGUGUCAGCCGCCGCGGUAAAACCAGCACCUCAAGUGGUCAGGAUGAUUAUUGGGCCUAAAGCAUCCGUAGCCGGCUCUGUAAGUUUUCGGUUAAAUCUAUGCGCUCAACGUAUGGGCUGCCGAAAAUACUGUAGAGAUAGGGAGUGGGAGAGGUAGACGGUACUCGGUAGGAAGGGGUAAAAUCCUUUGAUCUAUCGAUGACCACCUGUGGCGAAGGCGGUCUACCAGAACACGUUCGACGGUGAGGGAUGAAAGCUGGGGGAGCAAACCGGAUUAGAUACCCGGGUAGUCCCAGCUGUAAACGAUGCAGACUCGAUGAUGCAUUGGCAUAUAGCCAGUGCAGUGUCGCAGGGAAGCCGUUAAGUCUGCCGCCUGGGAAGUACGUACGCAAGUAUGAAACUUAAAGGAAUUGGCGGGGGAGCACCACAAGGGGUGAAGCCUGCGGUUCAAUUGGAGUCAACGCCGG